UACGUAGGGGGCAAGCGUUGUCCGGAUUCAUUGGGCGUAAAGAGCUCGUAGGCGGUUCGGUAAGUCGGGUGUGAAAUCUCCGUGCUCAACACGGAGCGGCCACCUGAUACUGCCGUGACUCGAGUCCGGUAGGGGAGUGUGGAAUUCCCGGUGUAGCGGUGAAAUGCGCAGAUAUCGUAAGGAAGACCAGUGGCGAAGGCGGGUCUCUGGACAGUUCCUGACGCUGAGGAGCGAAAGCGUGGGGAGCGAACAGG
rnacentral:rRNA from 1 species